AACAUGACUCUCGGCAACGGAUAUCUCGGCUCUCGCCACGAUGAAGAAUGUAGCGAAAUGCCAUACUUAGUGUGAAUUUUAGAAUCCCGUGAAUCAUCGAAUCUUUGAACGCAAGUUGCGCCCGAGGCCUCGGCUGAGGGCACCUCUGCUUGGGCGUCGCAC
rnacentral:rRNA from 1 species